AGCCGAAACAGCGGAUUUAAUUCGCUGUCCGUCGGAAGUUGUCGCCCGACGCUGAUGAGGCAGACCAAA
rnacentral:hammerhead_ribozyme from 1 species